CCACUGGAAGCAAGAAGAGCAGUUCUUCAUCUCUUCAUUCUUUCAUUUAGUGAGUAUUCAUUGAGUGUUUUACUCUGUGCCAGCACAGAGCUAGGUGCUGGGGAACACCAAAAUGAACAAGAGAGCAUUAAUUCCCUGCUCUCAGAUUUUACCAUCUAACUGGGUCUACAGGCAAGUAAACUGGCAAGAACACUUUGUUAUAAGAACUUGCAUUGUAUCAAGUAACUGAAAGCCUUCCCGUCACCAUCCUUUGCAUCUGGGAACAAAGUAGUGCUGCCCAAGAUGUUUUUGUGGCAGAGAAGAUUAUGAAACAAACUUCCCCAGCUCUUUGGAGAGACAGAAAAGAAUGGCUAAGAAGAGCUGACUCUCUCAGUGAUAGAAAUGCAUGCUUUCAGCAAGAUACCCUCUAAGGGAUAUGAAACUUAUGUUUCCAAGGCAUUGUGUCUCCAGGAACUAGGAAAUGUUUUGAAAAUGAAGCAAAAUUGCUUGAUGAGUAAGAAGCUGAGCUAUGGUUUCUUCACUGAGAUCAGCUGUCUCCAGGAACUUGAGUAACUGUCUCCAACCCAGUGUGUGGAUGAGGAGAGCAGAAGGACCUUAGGUAAUCCAGGAUUUAGCAAAACACAAGAUUGGCCUCCUGAUAAUCCAUUCCUUGUAUAUAGCAACAAAACUACAAUGAAAAGUGUACCAAAAAAUCUCCUCCAAGUAAGAGCAUUAAGUUUUACAAUAACAAGAUCAAUACCAUGCUGGACCCAGGAUGUUUUGUGGGCAAUGCUUCCCCAUUAUCCUAGUUACCUCAAAAGAUUCUAGAUGAACCACAAGCAUUCCCAUUUGUCUCUGAAGUUCAUCAUGGAUCUGUCAUCCAUGAAUUCAGCUAACUAUUUGAGAAGUGAUUUAUAUCUCUAUCGAAUAAUAAGUAACAUAUGUUAUUUACUGUGUGAAGUGGUUUAUUCUUGUUUGAACUAAAUUUCUGUCUCUUGAAUUUUACAGGUGAUUUUUCUCAUUCAAUUAAAUCACAUUUGUAAACAAAUGUGUUUUCUUCCCCC
rnacentral:lncRNA from 1 species